GCGAUGUGGCUGGAGGGUGGGGGAGAUUGUGGGAGGUGAAGCUGGUGAGACGGUCGGGGGCUGUUAGGUAUUUUGGGCUUUAGACUAAUGAGAGGCCACUGAAGGGGUUAAAAGACCACUGUGGCUACUGGGUAAAAAGUACUUUGAAAAGUCAGUAAUAGAUUAAUUUAUUGUAGGAGUCUAGGUGAAAAUUGAUGGUAGCUUGGACUAGAGUUAUGGGGAAGCAGGUAGAGAGAAGUUGAUGAAUCCCAAACGUAUUCUGGAGGUAGAAUCAUCGAUAUUUGUAAAUGAACUAGAUGUUGAAGAUGAGAAAGAGUGGGGGGUGUGUCCAGAAUGACUCCCAGGUUUCUGAUAUGAGCAGUUGGGUAGAUGGAGACGCCAUUUACCAAAGUGGUGACCACCGAGAGAGAAACAAGUUAUGGAGGGAAGAGUAAGAGUUCUCUUUAGACUGUUGAGUUUGAGACAUCCAAACGGAGGUGGCACAUGGGAUGUCAGAUGAUAUGGAUCUGGAGCUCGGCAGAGUAAACUUACAUUAAGCUGUUAAUAGGGAUAUUUAAGCUGUGAAAACUGAUAGAUGACCCGGUAGUAAAUAUAUAUACAAUGAGAAGAGUUGAGGGCUUAAUAUGGAAACUGGAAGAACUCCAACUGUAGAGGCAAAGUAAUGGAGGAACAAAUGAGACCAAGGGGAGGCCAGAGAUGUACAAGACAACAAAAGAGUGUGGUGCCGUGGAGGCCAAUGUGAGGCUACUGUAGGUCAAAAAAGGUGCAGAUCAUUGGAUUGAGCAACACGGAGGUCACCAAAUACCUUACUGAUAGCUGUGCUGUUGGAAUGUUGAGCAUGCAAAACUAUGUUGAAAUAGGUUGAGAAAUUGGUACUGGCAAUACGUGGGAUUAAUUAUUCUAGAAGAUCUUUCUAUAUAAAGUACCUGGAAGUGCUGGCUGAACUAUAACAAUUCUCCUUUUAGAUGCACAGCUGAAUAUCCCCCCAAAGUAAAGUAAUCCCUAAGGGUGAAAAAACAAAACAAAAUAAGGACCUUGAAACGUUAGAAUCUUAGCUGAUUAUGAAGCUACAAUUGCCCCACAGGCUCUUGCCAGUCUUUAUAACCAAGAAAUUUAAGUUUAAUAGCUGUCCAAGAAAGAGACACAGAGCCUUGGGACCUUAGGAAGUAGAAAGUUGGGACUGAGACCCUCACAUAUAUUGGGAAACUGUAAAGGGUGACACAUUGAAUGAAAAGACAGAAUAGGAAGAAUCUGCUACCUGGUAAAAGGAGAUGACAAAGAGUUAUUAUCUCUCUUGACCUGGGCUCUGGGUGGGAAAAACUACUCAUUCCAAGAAUUGAAAAUCACCUUUCCUCUCAGGCGUUUGGGGUUCAAAAUUGCACUACUUAAGUGAUCUGGAUAAUCACUGGAUAAGAAAUUAAAUUACUGUGUACAUAAUUUGAUAGUGUACAAGGACAUCGGACAGAAACAAAGUAAAUCCUCUUUGGAAGGACAUCUACGCAGGCAUCCCAACCCUGGCCAGAGACGAGCUAACAAUCCAAAAUUACGAGACACUUGAAGUGAUGCUUCUUGAAAAGAGUCAGUAGAAAACAAACUGUAGAAUCAGGUUCUCAAGAACUUAGGAAUUGGAACCAUUAGAUAUAAAAUAUUGAGUAUUUUAAAAAUGUUUAAUGAAAUAAAAGGUAGAAAGAAAACAGGAAAGAACAGAAUGUCAUCCCAAAAGGCAAGGAAGGUUUGGAAAAGAACAAGAUAAUGCUUUUAGUAAUAAAAAUGCAAGUUUGUAAAUGGUUACUUCAACGAUGGCUUAAACAGCAGACUAAAUAUAACUGAAGAGAAUUAGAGGACGAGGUAGACCUGGCAUCACGCAGACAGAAACGUGGGUUGAGAGACACGGGGAACGGGAUGAGAAGGUCUGUCACAUGUCCACGUGAAGAGGAUCAAGAGAAUGGGGUGAGGACAUACUCCACAGACAUACCUGAGAGUCAUCCGGGAGCAUGGGAUGAAAAGCAGCAGUCUUCCGAUUCAGCAAUCACAGUGCUUCCUCUGUAAGAUAAACGAAAAGUUUACCCCUUGCUGCCUAGUGGUGAUACUGCAGGACACUUCAGAGAUUUUUACAGUUGCCGAGAAGAAAAGACAGGCGAGCAGCAGGCUCCCCACCCGGAACCGCAGAAACCAGAGGUCAGCCGAUGGGGCCUUCAGAGCUGGAGAGAACAGGACUGAGAACCCAGAGUUGCGGUCCUGGCUGCCCCACCACCCAGGCGCCGGGCCACGGAGGAUGCCACGGAGCUGCUUCCCACCAACGGACCCUGCCAUAGAGGGAUUCCAAAGGAUGGGCCAGAGGGCAAAGGCCACCUGAAGAUGCCACUGGAGAGGAAGGAGACCCGGGGUGUAGAGAAUGGCGAGCAGGGAGUUGGACGGGAUAAACGCCCAGGCCCGGAGACUGCAGCGGAGCCGCGCCAAGGGAACCCCAGCCCCAGCCGCCGGGGGAGCCUGGAGCCCCCCUCCACCCCGGCUGCGCCGCACAGUCAGCGAGACCAGCCUGGGCUCGGCCAUCGCCCCGCCGUCCGCUGCUCGGGGCCCCGAGGAGCCCGGCCAGGACGCCAUGCGCUGCUCCCUCUACGAGUCGCCCCACCUGCUGCUUCUGCAGGGCUACAGCCAGCAGCACGACAGCCUGGUCUACGUGCUCAACCGGGAGCGGCACACGGUGGGCCAGAGGACCCCCUCCAGCAAGCCCAGCAUCAACCUCUCGGCCCCCGACAUCCUGCCCCUGCACUGCACCAUCCGCAGGCGCCGGCCGUUGGGCCGGGCUCAGGCGGGGGCACAGCUGGUCCUGGAGCCCAUCCCCGGGGCGUCCGUCUCGGUCAACUUCUCGGAGGUGGGGGGCCGCGCCGUGGUGCUGCGCCACGGGGACCUGCUCUCCCUGGGCCUGUACUACCUGCUGCUGCUGAAGGACCCAGCGCAGGCCCAGCCCCUGCCCGCCCAGGCCCUGGCCCGCCUCCGGGCCGUGCCGGAGAGCUGUAGGAUGUGCGGUGCCCCGCUCCGGGCCCGGGGCGCCUCGGUCUCCGCGAGGCCCGGACCCCCCCGGGCGCGGCCGCUGCACCUGGAGUUCGAGCCUGACAUGGAGGACGCGCUGCUACAGCGGAUCAUGACGCUGGUCGAGCCGGGCGGCAACGACCACAAGCUGACCCCCGCCUUCCUCCUCUGCCUCUGCAUUCAGCACUCGGCCACCCGCCUCGAGCCGGGCUCCUUCGGGCAGCUCCUGCUCAAGAUGGCCAAGAUGAUCCGAGAGACGGUCUGGGAGAAAACCAAAGAACUCGCCGAGAAGCAGGCGCACCUCCAGGAGCCCCUCUCCCCGGCUAGCUUCACCAUGGCGGGCCUGGUUCCGGACCUGCAGCACAUCCUCUUCUGGAUGUCCAACUCGGUUGAGCUUCUGUACUUUAUCCAGCAGAAGUGCCCACUCUACAUGCAGAGCCUGGAGGAGGACCUGGACGUCACAGGCUCGAAGGAGUCCCUGUUCUCCUGCACCCUCACGGCCAGUGAAGAGGCCAUGGCAGUGCUGGAGGAGGUCAUCCUGUACGCCUUCCAGCAGUGCGUGUACUACGUCUCCAAGUCCCUGUACGUGUGCCUCCCGGCCCUGCUGGAGUGCCCCCCCUUCCAGCUGGAGUGCCGCGAGAGCUGGUGCUCGGCGCCUCAGCUGCCCGAGGAGCUGCACCGCGUCGUGUCCAUCUACCAGGCCACCCUGGACCUCCUGCGGCCGCUGCAGGUGCACCCCGAGAUCGCCGCCCAGGUGCUGGCCUACCUCUUCUUCUUCUCCGGCACUCUGCUCUUCAACCAGCUCCUGGACAAGGGGCCCUCUCUGAGUUGCUUCCACUGGCCCAGAGGCGUCCAGGCCUGUGCCCGCCUGCAGCAGCUCCUGGAGUGGACACGGAAUGCCGGCUUUGGCGAGGCUGGAGAGCGCUUCUUCCGGAAGCUUUCCUGCACACUCAGCCUGCUGGCCACGCCCAGUGCCCAGCUCGUGCAGAUGAGCUGGGCGAACCUGCGGGCCGCGUUCCCUGCCCUGAGCCCCGCGCAGCUGCACCGCCUGCUGACCCAGUACCAGCUGGCCUCGGCCAUGGGCCCCAUGAGCGCCUGGGAGCCGGGUGCCCAGGACAGCCCCGCAGCCUUCAAGUCAGAGGAGGUCCUGGAGUCCUAUGAAAACCCCCCACCCAUCGUUUUGCCGAGCGAGGGCUUCCAGGUGGAUCUGGAGGCCGACUGCCUGGACGACAGCCUCCACCAGCACCUCCUCUACAUCCGCCACUUCCUGUGGAGCCUGCAGAGCAAGCCCAGCCCCGGCGGCAGGCCCGCGCGGCCAGAGUGUCUCCAGGGCCCGCAACACACCAGCCCCGAGGGCCACCCUGAGGACCAGAGCCGCCCCCUGGCUUCCAGGGACCCCGGCAGGGGAGCCCGUGAGGCCGGCUUGGAGCGCACUCCUCCUUCCGCGGGGGACCCCCAGGCACAGGGCCCUCUGGGAAGGCCACCAGGCCGCGUGAGCCGCGGGGGGGCCCAGGCCGGGGACCCACACGGGGACCCCUCAUGCCUGCUCACGCCUCCCGGCACCCCGCUCAGCCUGGAGCCCGCUGUCCCCGACUGGCCAGAAGCCAGCAGUGCCUGUGGGGAAGUGCUUCUGGAAGGGAGGAGGAACGGGCCGAGUGGCCCGGGGUGCGCAGCCCCGCAAGGAGACUGUGCAGCCCCGGCGGCCGAGCCCCCUCCAGCCUCCUCCAGCCACAGCUCCAGCACGGACGACUUCUGCUACAUGUUCGUGGUGGAGCUAGAGCGAGGCCCCUCUGGGCUGGGCAUGGGCCUGAUCGAUGGGAUGCACACACCCCUGGGCGCCCCAGGGCUCUACAUCCAGACCCUGCUCCCGGGGAGCCCCGCAGCGUCCGACGGGCGGCUGUCGCUGGGAGACCGCAUCCUGGAGGUGAACGGCAGCAGCCUGGUGGGCGUCAGCUAUCUGAGAGCCGUGGAUCUGAUCCGACACGGGGGAAAGAAGGUGCGGUUUCUGGUUGCCAAGUCAGACGUGGAAACGGCCAAGAAGAUCCGCUUCCGCACGCCCCCUCCCUAGGCGCCGUGCAGGGGCGGCCCGAGCACCUACACCUGCGGCUCCCAGGUUACGGCCCCUUCUGCCAGACUGUUCGGUGUGGCUGUGUCGCCCACAGGACGCUAGCCGCAGUCCCUAGUGUACAUUUUAUUUUAUUGAUAUGACAGAUAACACUAAGUUGUGAUGUUUGUCACAGAGCCUUCGUGUUUGAAGAUUUGAGUGUUAUAGAUUCAAUAAACUAUCUUUCGUAUUGUAGAGGGUGGCGGGGCGUGGAGUCUGGGUGGGCACCGUGCUGGCCCCCUAGAAGGGUUGCUGGACGUGGGGCGGUGCCCUUCGAAGAACUGCUCCCUCCCUGCCAGCGCGGGAGAGUCCCCGGGGGGGACACGGGGCUCGCUGGGGUGCCGGGAUGGCUCUAACUCGCUCCUCGCCUGCCCUCCACUCUGCCCGCAAACAAGGAGCAGCGGGGGAGAUGCAGACAGCCCCCGGCCGCCGAGGGAAAGGGCCAGAGCCGCCCCCAUCAGAGGGGGCUGCACCCUCGGUGAUACCACACUCAGCACGUCCCAAAGAAGGGGUCUGGACCCCCCAGAAGGUUGUAAAGUGAGAGUCUUGACCCACUGGGUAUCCAGGCUUCCUCCCUCAGACUCACACCCCUCCUGAUGUCCUCUCUGGUCGCUAAAGCCAUGGCUGGGCCCUAAUACCAGGCUGGCCGGUCCCAGGCUCUCAGUCUGCGGCCCGGCUGGUGUCCACCUGGUGGCCUUUGCUUCACCCUGGUGGGGGGGCCCGCCUCCUGCACCGGCCGCUGACCCUGUGCAGGGCCGUGUUGGUGUCACAGUGGCAGCAGGCAGGGCACCUCCCGGCUGGGUGUCUUCGGCAGGUUCGGCAGUGUGCGCCUCCCUGGGCUCUGGGCUGGGGUCCUCCUCUUCGACAGGAACAGAGACUCUGGGGACGAGAGGGUCCCGGCCAGGCAGCUGCAGACACACCCCUUACGUGGAAAGGGGUCUCGUGGAGGGGCCAGCGGCCGGAAGACGAGGAAAGUGGAACACAAUGGGACUAUCAUUUUCUACAUCAGUCGGCCAGCGCUGUAAGUGCUGUGAGGACAACCCGACAGAACCCAACCUCUGGAAGCAGCCACCCUGGUCCGCCCUCGGCGCGGUUGCAGUGGGCGCCCGGCCCAGGUGAGUGCGCCCUGCUCGCGCGCCAUCCUCCGGGCCGCAGCCCAGCCCGUGUCCUCACGGCCUCCGAGGCCCCCGGCGGCUCUGCCGCUGCGGCUGACACGCCUGGGACAGCCCAGCCCCGCCGGAUUUGCACUCGCGUCGCUGGACUGGACUCCCAGCCACCACAGAAGUCUACCCUGCAAAGACAAUGGUAAGGGAACGUUUCUAGAGCGGCCUUGGCUCCGUGUGAAGCAGGGAAAAAAGUCCCCUCAAAAUCCGUAUUCUCAAACUGGUUCGUAGGCACGUUUGAGACCCAAACUUGAAACGUCUGAACGAACGUGAAAAAACUGAAGCUAAGCAUUAAUUGGCAUCUUGGCAAAUUGAAAAAAAGCAUUUUCUCUAGGUGUCACAUCCUCAACCCUGGCCUCCCUGGACCCAAGUCCGGAGGGCCAGGCAGGGCCGGGUGGGCCGGGUCGGGCCGGGCCGGGCAGCCCGAGCGGGUGGGCGAAGGGUGUCGCUGGGGCUCGCAGGGCUGGGUUGGUCCCAUCCUGGGAGGGUCAGGUGUUCUUUGGCACGCCCCGCACCAGUGCCCCACGGCUCUGCUCCGCGCACCACCUGUUGCUUCUCGGAAAGCAUCCUGGGGCCGGGACGCCAGCCAGAGGCGUCCGUCCCUGCGGCACCCGCCCGGCCCCCAUCAGCUUCCUCGGCGGCGGGUGUUUCUUAGGGCGUCUGGGAGGCAAAACCGGCCGGGGGCGGAGGCAGGAGCUGGCCGGAGCCUGGGGGCGUGGCGGAGCCCGUGAGGGGCAGGGCCGGAACCUGGGGGCGUGGCCAGGAGUAGGCCUGGAUGUUGGGCGCGGCGGAGCGGGUGGGCUGGGACUUUCGAAGCAGCAGCACCACCUGGUGGCCGAGCCCCGCCAGGUGCCCGGGGAGCUGGGGCGCAGCCUUGGGGGUUGGUUUACAAGCGGGGCAGGGCCUGACUUGAACGGAACAGUGGUAGAAAGCGCUUGAGAGGACGGGGUGUCUCCCCCAAGUGGUGUAAGAGCAAAGCGCACCCGGACUUGCUCCCAGUAAGGCUUCUGGCGGCAGGUAGGGUGGUCACUGGGAACACUUUGGUGGGUGCCCUGCCCUUACCCCUGCUCGUAGAAGGCUGCACGUCUGCAAAGGUGACUGACAGCACCUCCAGCCCACCCAGCAGGAGCCCCAGAGCCCCAGCCUUAUCGUCUUCAACUUAGGAGCAGGAGAAUAUCUAAAAUAAUGUCACUGACCAAACCCAUUUCCCCCGUGGCAGCUGCCACCUCGGGGAGGUCGACACUGCUUCUUCCUUUCUGACUGACCGCAUGUGUCUGUUAGUGAUCUGUGGUUUCUGUACCAUCUGGGACAUGGGCUGAAUGGGGCUCGGCCCUGACACAUGGGGAUCAGGUGAAGGCCCCCCCCCCAGCCCCACGGCCGGCUCUCCCAGCCCAGCAGCACUGUGUCCCCUGGGCUCUGUAGCAGCCGCG